GAUGAACGCUGGCGGCGUGCCUAAUACAUGCAAGUCGAGCGAACAGACGAGAAGCUUGCUCCUCUGACGUUAGCGGCGGACGGGUGAGUAACACGUGGAUAACCUACCUAUAAGACUGGGAUAACUUCGGGAAACCGGAGCUAAUACCGGAUGAUAUAUUGAACCGCAUGGUUCAAUAGUGAAAGACGGUUUUGCUGUCACUUAUAGAUGGAUCCGCGCCGCAUUAGCUAGUUGGUAAGGUAACGGCUUACCAAGGCAACGAUGCGUAGCCGACCUGAGAGGGUGAUCGGCCACACUGGAACUGAGACACGGUCCAGACUCCUACGGGAGGCAGCAGUAGGGAAUCUUCCGCAAUGGGCGAAAGCCUGACGGAGCAACGCCGCGUGAGUGAUGAAGGUCUUCGGAUCGUAAAACUCUGUUAUUAGGGAAGAACAAAUGUGUAAGUAACUGUGCACGUCUUGACGGUACCUAAUCAGAAAGCCACGGCUAACUACGUG
rnacentral:rRNA from 1 species